GACCUCAAAUCAGGUAGGACUACCCGCUGAACUUAAGCAUAUCAAUAAGCGGAGGAAAAGAAACUAACAAGGAUUCCCCUAGUAACUGCGAGUGAAGCGGGAAAAGCUCAAAUUUAAAAUCUGGCGGUCUUUGGCCGUCCGAG
rnacentral:rRNA from 1 species